AUCAACUUUCGAUGGUAGGAUAGAGGCCUACCAUGGUGGUAACGGGUAACGGGGAAUUAGGGUUCGAUUCCGGAGAGGGAGCCUGAGAAACGGCUACCACAUCCAAGGAAGGCAGCAGGCGCGCAAAUUACCCAAUCCCGACACGGGGAGGUAGUGACAAUAAAUAACAAUACGGGGCUCUUUCGGGUCUCGUAAUUGGAAUGAGUACAAUUUAAAUCCCUUAACGAGGAACAAUUGGAGGGCAAGUCUGGUGCCAGCAGCCGCGGUAAUUCCAGCUCCAAUAGCGUAUACUAAAGUUGUUGCAGUUAAAAAGCUCGUAGUUGAAUUUCGGGGUUAGUAGGUUGGUCAUGCCUCUGGUAUGUACUGGUCUCACUGAUUCCUCCUUCCUGAUGAACCGUAAUGCCAUUAAUUUGGUGUUGCGGGGAAUUUGGACUGUUACUCUGAAAAAAUUAGAGUGUUUAAAGCAAGCUAACGCUUGAAUACAUUAGCAUGGAAUAAUGAAAUAGGACGUUCGAUCCUAUUUUGUUGGUUUCUAGGAUUGACGUAAUGAUUAAUAGGGAUAGUUGGGGGCAUUAGUAUUCAAUUGUCAGAGGUGAAAUUCUUGGAUUUAUUGAAGACUAACUACUGCGAAAGCAUUUGCCAAGGAUGUUUUCAUUAAUCAAGAACGAAAGUUAGGGGAUCGAAGACGAUCAGAUACCGUCGUAGUCUUAACCAUAAACUAUGCCGACUAGGGAUCGGACGAAGUUAAUUUUAUAAUGACNCGUUCGGCACCUUACGGGAAACCAAAGUGUUUGGGUUC
rnacentral:rRNA from 1 species